rnacentral:misc_RNA from 1 species
GGUGACCAAUGUCGGUCCGGGCAGUUAGAAUGUUUAAAAUUAUAAUUAGACUAAAGUGGAGAGUUAUAAAGAAAUUAAAUAAUGCUCAUAAAAAUCAAGGAAAAUUUAUAAGAAUGAAAUACACUAAGAUUAAACGAGCCAAAACUCUAGGGAUGAGUAACCCGAAAGGGAAUUGACGGUGAAGGCCGUUAGCAACCCCAUAUCCGGGGAAAACUUCAUGAAAUAAUUUUUGGAACCUCAGGAAAGUAUUAUUGGGGUUCCCAUGAUAAUAGAAUGCUAAGAAAACACUAGGAAAAUUUAAUCAAUCGGUACACACAAUUUUGACUCGUUAAACUAAAUCAUCAGUAUUUUAGUCAUUUCGUCUUUAGAGAUGAUU